AUAAAUAAAUAACUAAAUGAAAAUAAAAAGUGGGAAUAAAAUAAACUAAGAAAUUAAAAAUAAUAAGUGAAAAGGGUGUGGUGGUGUUUAGGCAAAAGAGGGGUGUAAAAACUAUUAUUAUAAACAAACUGGGCUUAAACCCAAACUGGAUGGAGGUGUGAUUUAGUGGAAACAGGGGGUGCAGAAACGAUUUUUUUUUUGGUUGACAGAAUGGGCUCGAACCCAAGAGAUGGGGGUUGUAGAUGGAAGAAAAGGGGGGUGCGAAUGGGGAUGGCCCAUGAAUCUGGCCCAAGUGCUCACGACCUAGAAGCUCUAAGGGGGUCAAGAUUUUCUUCCCUCAUUCUUCACUCUCAGACUCAAACACCAGAGACUCAAGGUCUCGCGUCUCUCUCUCGCCUAACUCGGGGUCAGAGCUCGCACCGCACCGCCUUCAUUCGACGACCACACACAACCGCUUUCUCUCCACCUGGCGUCACCGGCGACGACGCGCCCUACCGGAGCCACCGCCGGCCGCGACAUCAUCGUUGUCCUUCUCUUCCUCUCGCGCUAGCCUAGGGCUAAAGCUUUGCCUCCAAUGCACCGCCGCUCCUCUUCGACAACCACUGCGUCGCCAUCACAGUCUCGUCGUCUCACUCUCGCCAGCGACCGCGACCUUCACCGUCACAUGAGAGAUUAUCCUCUUCAUGGAUCGCCACUAGUCAUGGCCCAAGGUCGCUGUCGGUCAUAGCCGACCACCUCUACCACCACAACCAGAUCCUCCUCUAGCCCUAAAACCCCAUCGUCACAACCACCCCCAAAACGCUACUGCGCCCUCCACCCGUGAGGGGUUCAUUGCUAGGUGCUCAAAUUUUUUGGCUUCGUUUUGGUUGUAGGUUGAAUAUGGGUUGGUGUAUGGAUGUUGGAAAUUGGCCCUUGUUUUUGGUGAUUGGUUCUGUUUUUGUGCGUAUUGAUUUUGGGUUUCCAUUUGUGGGAGUUCUUGAUUCAAUUCUAAUGAUGAACGAGGCUGGAUAGGGGAUGGAAGACGGUGGGAAAUUGGUUCAUGACUUGCUGUGUUUUCUUGAACAGGGGCAUAUGGAGUAGGGACGUGAUGAAUCUGUGUCUGUUCAGAUUGAAGAAGACUUAUGGUUUGGCUAGAGAGGAAGUUGUUUCGGUUUUCUGUUCUUUUCUAUUUUGGAAAUGCAUCUAAUUUUGCUUCUACAUUUUUCUAUAGUGUUUUCUGGGUACAAGUAGAGGGGUAUUGAAAUCAUGAUGUUGGAGAACAUGUACCUAGUCUCUACUGUUAGUGAUACAUGAUGAAUCUUGCAGGUAUUUGAUUAAACGAUGAUGCCAUGAAGAGAACACAACUAUAUUAUUAAUCAAGCACCAUUCAUUCAUAUUCAGGCAUGGCAUGCAAUAGGGGAACAGACAUUCGCAUAAGACCAAACCCGAGAAGCUUAGAUAGGGCAACUUACCUCUGUAGCUUCAACAGAAUUCUCCUGGGUAAAGGCAAAUGGUCCUCCUUUUCCCUGGCCGUAAGGUAUCUUCCUCCCAGAUUGUGACGAUAGGUAAAUGGUGAUGAGUUUCCAAUGCUCAAGCUCCGUUUAUGAGGUGCUUGAAACUGAAUCCUUUGGUGAAGGUCCUCUUGUGGUAAUGAGAUAUUGCAGAUAAUGAAAUAUUGCCGAUGAACAAUUGGGAGUGAAAGGGAAAUCCAGAAUGCUUCGUCUGUGAAGGUUUUUUCUAGUUUCUCAAUCGUCCAUGAUGGUCAGGUGUUGGAGAUGAAUAAUGGUUCUCGACUCCAUGCUCUCUGGUCGUGGUGGUGAGGUGAAUACGAGUUGUAUGUGAUGGGUAAAUGUGAAGGAUGACGAUGAAGACGUUGUGUGUGAUGAGGAUGUAGAAGUGGAGAGGUAGGAAUGGUAAGAAGGUCCGAAUGAUAUUGGUGAAGGAGGUGGAAACGUAUAGAGGAGCAGAGUAGUGGAGGGCAGUGUGGUGUCCUUCCUUGCCUGCCAAGACCAACAACCUCUGCCAAAAUCCAUCCUUUGCCAAGACCAUGUUGUCCUUCCUUUCACAAACUGACAAAGCCUUUUUCUUUUUCUUUUUUCCU